CUGGCGGCGUGCCUAAUACAUGCAGUCGAGCGAAUGAUGAAGAAGCUUGCUUCUUCUGAUUUAGCGGCGGACGGGUGAGUAACACGUGGGCAACCUACCUAGUAGAUUGGGAUAACUCCGGGAAACCGGGGCUAAUACCGAAUAAUCCGUUUCACCACAUGGUGAAACGUUGAAAGGCGGCUUCGGCUGUCACUACUAGAUGGGCCCGCGGCGCAUUAGCUAGUUGGUGAGGUAACGGCUCACCAAGCCGACGAUGGAUAGGGGAGCUGAGAGGCUGACCCCCCACACUGGGACUGAGACACGGCCCAGACUCCUACGGGAGGCAGCAGUGAGGAAUAUUGGUCAAUGGAGGCAACUCUGAACCAGCCAAGUCGCGUGAAGGAAGACUGUCCUAUGGAUUGUAAACUUCUUUAGUAGGUGAAUAGAGUCGGGCACGUGUGCCCGUAGGCAUGUAACCUAAGAAUAAGUAUCGGCUAACUCCGUGCCAGCAGCCGCGGUAAU
rnacentral:rRNA from 1 species